CAGUCGCCACGGUAAUACGUAGGUGGCAAGCGUUGUCCGGAAUUAUUGGGCGUAAAGGGCUCGCAGGCGGUUUCUUAAGUCUGAUGUGAAAGGUUCAACGCUUAACGUGAACAGUGCCUUGGAUACUGGGGAGCUUGAGUAUGGGAGAGGGCAGUGGAAUGGCUGGUGUAGCGGUGAAAUGCGUAGAUAUCAGUCGGAACACCCAUGGCGAAGGCAGCUGCCUGGCCUAAUACUGACGCUGAGGUGCGAAAGCGUGGGGAGCGAACGGGAUUAGAUACCCCGGUAGUCCCUGUCUCUUAUU
rnacentral:rRNA from 1 species